rnacentral:rRNA from 1 species
UACGGAGGGUGCAAGCGUUAUCCGGAUUCACUGGGUUUAAAGGGUGCGUAGGCGGGCAGGUAAGUCCGUGGUGAAAUCUCUGAGCUUAACUCAGAAACUGCCAUGGAUACUAUUUGUCUUGAAUGUUGUGGAGGUAAGCGGAAUAUGUCAUGUAGCGGUGAAAUGCUUAGAUAUGACAUAGAACACCAAUUGCGAAGGCAGCUUGCUACACUAUCAUUGACACUGAGGCACGAAAGCGUGGGGAUCAAACAGG